rnacentral:rRNA from 1 species
UACGUAUGGAGCAAGCGUUAUCCGGAUUUACUGGGUGUAAAGGGAGCGCAGGCGGCAGGGCAAGUCUGAUGUGAAAUACCGGGGCUCAACCCCGGAGCUGCAUUGGAAACUGUUCUGCUGGAGUGUCGGAGAGGCAGGCGGAAUUCCUAGUGUAGCGGUGAAAUGCGUAGAUAUUAGGAGGAACACCAGUGGCGAAGGCGGCCUGCUGGACGAUAACUGACGCUGAGGCUCGAAAGCGUGGGGAGCAAACA